rnacentral:rRNA from 1 species
UACGUAGGGGGCAAGCGUUGUCCGGAAUCAUUGGGCGUAAAGCGCGUGUAGGCGGUUCAGUAAGUCUGCUGUGAAAGUCCAGGGCUCAACCCUGGGAUGCCGGUGGAUACUGCUGGACUAGAGUGCGGAAGAGGCGAGUGGAAUUCCCGGUGUAAGCGGUGAAAUGCGCAGAUAUCGGGAGGAACACCAAUUGCGAAGGCAGCUCGCUGGGACGUUACUGACGCUGGAGAACGCGGAAAGCGUGGGGAGCAAACAGG